AGAGUUUGAUCCUGGCUCAGGACGAACGCUGGCGGCGUGCCUAACACAUGCAAGUCGAACGGAACUGUUUUGAAAGAUUUCUUCGGAAUGAAUUUGAUUUAGUUUAGUGGCGGACGGGUGAGUAACGCGUGAGUAACCUGCCUUCAAGAGGGGGAUAACAUUCUGAAAAGAAUGCUAAUACCGCAUGACAUAUCGGAACCACAUGGUUCUGAUAUCAAAGAUUUUAUCGCUUGAAGAUGGACUCGCGUCCGAUUAGUUAGUUGGUGAGGUAACGGCUCACCAAGACCGCGAUCGGUAGCCGGACUGAGAGGUUGAACGGCCACAUUGGGACUGAGACACGGCCCAGACUCCUACGGGAGGCAGCAGUGGGGGAUAUUGCGCAAUGGGGGCAACCCUGACGCAGCAACGCCGCGUGAAGGAUGAAGGUUUUCGGAUUGUAAACUUCUUUUAUUAAGGACGAAAAAUGACGGUACUUAAUGAAUAAGCUCCGGCUAACUACGUGCCAGCAGCCGCGGUAAUACGUAGGGAGCAAGCGUUGUCCGGAUUUACUGGGUGUAAAGGGUGCGUAGGCGGCUUUGCAAGUCAGAUGUGAAAUCUAUGGGCUCAACCCAUAAACUGCAUUUGAAACUGUAGAGCUUGAGUGAAGUAGAGGCAGGCGGAAUUCCCCGUGUAGCGGUGAAAUGCGUAGAGAUGGGGAGGAACACCAGUGGCGAAGGCGGCCUGCUGGGCUUUAACUGACGCUGAGGCACGAAAGCGUGGGUAGCAAACAGGAUUAGAUACCCUGGUAGUCCACGCUGUAAACG
rnacentral:rRNA from 2 species